UACAGAGGUGGCAAGCGUUGUUCGGAAUUACUGGGCGUAAAGGGCGCGUAGGCGGCCUUCUAAGUCGGACGUGAAAGCCCCAGGCUUAACCUGGGAACUGCGUCCGAUACUGGGAGGCUUGGAUUCGGGAGAGGGAUGCGGAAUUCCAGGUGUAGCGGUGAAAUGCGUAGAUAUCUGGAGGAACACCGGUGGCGAAGGCGGCAUCCUGGACCGAGAUUGACGCUGAGGCGCGAAAGCCAGGGGAGCAAACGGG
rnacentral:rRNA from 1 species